GGUCAGCACGGUUGCCUCAGAAUCAGCAUUCAGCACAAGUGGUAGAGUUCUAAGUGACCACCGUAGUCGUCUUACCCCUGAAAUCUUAGAGGCCUUGAUGUGUUCACAAGAUUGGAUAAGAAACAAAUAUAAAGAUGCUGACAAUGAAGAUGGACAAAGCUUUUGGAGUUGUCUUCAAGACAUUCAAGAGGGAAUGCAGGACUUGGCACUCUGAAUUGGCAUGCUUUGAAGAUUGUCUUUUGGAGGCUUGGAGAUGUGAAAGAUGCCAUGAUGAUGACCACUUUAAAUUGAUUUGUGAACUACAAAAUCUAUUUUAGAACUUAUGUAUUGGACAAUUUCGUAUCAUUUGUGCUCGUGAUGUGUGAACCAUGAUUUCUAUUUCAGAACUUCUAUAAUUGG